rnacentral:rRNA from 1 species
GAUGAACGCUGGCGGCGUGCCUAAUACAUGCCAGUCGAGCGAACAGACGAGGAGCUUGCUCCUCUGACGUUAGCGGCGGACGGGUGAGUAACACGUGGAUAACCUACCUAUAAGACUGGGAUAACUUCGGGAAACCGGAGCUAAUACCGGAUAAUAUAUUGAACCGCAUGGUUCAAUAGUGAAAGACGGUUUUGCUGUCACUUAUAGAUGGAUCCGCGCCGCAUUAGCUAGUUGGUAAGGUAACGGCAUACCAAGGCAACGAUGCGUAGCCGACCUGAGAGGGUGAUCGGCCACACUGGAACUGAGACACGGUCCAGACUCCUACGGGAGGCAGCAGUAGGGAAUCUUCCGCAAUGGGCGAAAGCCUGACGGAGCAACGCCGCGUGAGUGAUGAAGGUCUUCGGAUCGUAAAACUCUGUUAUUAGGGAAGAACAAAUGUGUAAGUAACUAUGCACGUCUUGACGGUACCUAAUCAGAAAGCCACGGCUAACUACGUG